ACUGUCUUGGCAGAUUUUAAUGUGAUAGAUUUAGGUUCUAUAAAUGUAUAAAUAUACAGACAGUA
rnacentral:tRNA from 2 species